GAAGCAACGCGAAGAACCUUACCAGGUCUUGACAUCCUCUGACAACUCUAGAGAUAGAGCGUUCCCCUUCGGGGGACAGAGUGACAGGUGGUGCAUGGUUGUCGUCAGCUCGUGUCGUGAGAUGUUGGGUUAAGUCCCGCAACGAGCGCAACCCUUGAUCUUAGUUGCCAGCAUUCAGUUGGGCACUCUAAGGUGACUGCCGGUGACAAACCGGAGGAAGGUGGGGAUGACGUCAAAUCAUCAUGCCCCUUAUGACCUGGGCUACACACGUGCUACAAUGGAUGGUACAAAGGGCUGCAAGACCGCGAGGUCAAGCCAAUCCCAUAAAACCAUUCUCAGUUCGGAUUGUAGGCUGCAACUCGCCUACAUGAAGCUGGAAUCGCUAGUAAUCGCGGAUCAGCAUGCCGCGGUGAAUACGUUCCCGGGCCUUGUACACACCGCCCGUCACACCACGAGAGUUUGUAACACCCGAAGUCGGUGG
rnacentral:rRNA from 2 species